UAGUGAUUAACGCGAAGAACCUUACCCAGGCUUGAACUGCGAGUGACCACUCCCGAAAGGGAGCUCCCGCAAGGGCACUUGUAGAGGUGCUGCAUGGCUGUCGUCAGCUCGUGUCGUGAGAUGUUGGGUUAAGUCCCGCAACGAGCGCAACCCUUGUUUGCUGUUGCCAUCAGGUAAUGCUGGGCACUCUGCAAAGACUGCCGGUGAUAAACCGGAGGAAGGUGGGGAUGACGUCAAGUCAGCAUGGCCUUUAUGUCUGGGGCUACACACGUGCUACAAUGGCCGAUACAAACCGUUGCAAAGCCGCAAGGUGGAGCUAAUCGGAGAAAGUCGGUCUCAGUUCGGAUAGCAGGCUGCAACUCGCCUGCUUGAAGUUGGAAUCGCUAGUAAUCGCGGAUCAGCACGCCCGCGGUGAAUACGUUCCCGGGCCUUGUCACACCCGAAUCGAAUU
rnacentral:rRNA from 1 species